UGUUCUUUGGUAUAACAUAAAGAAUAGGACCUGCCCAGUGGGGAUAUUUUAAACGGCCGCGAUAUUUUAAUCGUGCUAAGGUAGCAUAAUCAAUUGUCUAUUAAUUGUAGACUGGAAUGAAUGGUUGGACUAGAAAUUGCUUGUUUUUAUAUUAAGAUGAAAUUUUUAUUUUUAUGAAGAGAUGAAGGUGAGGUAGUAAGACGAGAAGACCCUAUUGAGCUUAAUAUUAUAGCUAAUUAGAAUAAGUGGUGGGUAUAAUUAGUGAGGAUAUUUGACUGGGGUGGUAAAACUUAAUAUAAACAAGUUAUGAAAAAUUUACUAAUUAAGUAAAGGAGGAUCCAUAAUAAAGUGAUUAAAAGAACAAGUUACCGUAGGGAUAACAGCGUUAUUUCAUCUAGAAGUUCAGAUUUGUGAUGAAGUUUGCGACCUCGAUGUUGGUUUAGGGUUCCUUAUUAGUGCAUCAAUUAAUGAAGGUAGUCUGUUCGACUAUUAAAUUCCUAUA
rnacentral:rRNA from 1 species